rnacentral:rRNA from 1 species
UACGUAGGGUGCAAGCGUUAAUCGGAAUUACUGGGCGUAAAGCGUGCGCAGGCGGUUAUGUAAGACAGAUGUGAAAUGCCCGGGCUUAACCUGGGAACUGCAUUUGUGACUGCAUGGCUAGAGUUUGGCAGAGGGGGGUAGAAUUCCACGUGUAGCAGUGAAAUGCGUAGAUAUGUGGAGGAACACCGAAGGCGAAGGCAGUGUCCUGGCGAGUGACUGACGCUGAGGUGCGAAAGCCAGGGGAGCGAACAGG